GGAAAAUGAUCUGAUCCGUCACAUUCAUAUCCUUUAAAAGUGGUAGACGGAGUGAUGAUAAUGGAGUCAUGGAGGGAGAAUGUUACGGAGCAGAGAAAUCUAAAUUUGAAGGUGCUAGACAGGCAAUAAUGAUUUGAGUAUAGGGAUAUGCGCAGAAUGCUUGUAAGAUGUAUGUGUAGGGUGUGAUAUGCUUGUAUAGAUGCAAUAAAUGUGUAAGAUGUGAAUAGUGUACAUGAAUGUGUAGGAAGUGGAUGGUGUAGAUGAAUGUGUAAGAAGUGAAUAGUGUACAUGAAUGUGUAGGAAGUGGAUGGUGUAGAUGAAUGUGUAAGAUGUGGC